CAGAUGACUCAACGAGAAUGCGGUCCGAGCGUCAGGUCUAGGUGAUCCCUGCUAGCUAUGGCGACGCGGCGCUCAAGCCUGAGCCCGCGCGCUUACAUAGCAAAGGGGCCGACCCGCUAGUGGUCAUGUUUCGUGCGAGCGACACCUCUACUAUGAUCAUACUCAGCGACGCCGACGACGACACGGAACUCGUGUUUACGCUGGAGUCCCUCACACAGGCCGGAAUCAUCUUCAUCAUGGGCAUCGCGAUCAUCGUCACCAACGUUCUCAUAAUCGCCACGUUUCUCAACUUUAGAGGUCACGCCGAAGUAAUCAACUGUUACCUGCUGUCGCUGGCCGUCGCCGAUCUGCUAUGCGGACUACUCGUCGUGCCGCUUUCGGUCUACCCGGCGCUGGUACAACGAUGGGUCUACGGGGACAUCCUCUGCAGCCUCGUCGGCUACCUGGAGGUAACGCUUUGGGCGGUGACCGUGUACACCUUCAUGUGGAUAAGCGUCGAUCGGUACCUGGCCGUACGAAAACCGCUGAGGUACGAGACGAUCCAGACGAAGACGCGCUGCCAGUGCUGGAUGGCGUUCACGUGGAUUUCGGCCGCGAUGCUCUGCUGCCCGCCGCUGCUCGGUCUGGAGAAGCCCGUCUUCGAUCACGACGGUCACAUCUGCAUGCUGGACUGGGGUACGAUGGCCGCGUACACGGCGACGCUGGCGAUCCUGGUCCUCGGUCCUAGCCUGAUAACGAUCGUCUACACGUACGGAUACAUCUUCAACACGAUGAGAAAGCUGCGGAACGGCGCCCCGCUGCACGACAAAGAAUACGUGACCGCGUUGUCGGAGAAUCUGUCGAAUCCUAGCCAUAUUAUGUCAUUUGUGCUCGUUGUGACAUUUUGGUUCUCGUGGACUCCGUAUUUAGGUGUGAAGUUGUACGAGUAUUUUACCGGUAUCAAAUUUCAAGUGCCAUUUUUACAUUUCGGUAUCGUAUGGUUGGGUUUUUUGAAUUCGUUUUGGAAGUCGCUGAUCUUGGUAUCGCUAAGUCCACAAUUCCGUCUCGCUCUGCGAAUAUUUUGCAUGUCGAUCUGCUGUCGGUACAAGGGGGGACGCAUGCAGGCCGAACUGAUCGGAAUGGACGUCGACGACUGACUACUCCUCUCCUCCAUCAGUACAUACUUGCCGCGUUUCCGCAUACCGAUCACUGGCGUCGCGGUGACCGACUACGAAUUCAUCUUGGACAAAGUGAGGGAGCAGUUGACCGGAAAGUCGAAGAGAGACUCGAAUGGACAGUACGAAAAUAAAUUAGUGGGCAUCGAGUAUUGUUGAAUUAACGAUUAAGCCUCCAUGUAGAGCUUAUAACACCAAAAUUUUUCAGGUUUGCAUUUGUGCAAACAAUGUAUUAUAGCUGAUUACAUGUUUUUUUAUAUAUAGUAACUACUUAGAUAUGUAGUUGUAAAUGCAACGAAUGUAAGCGCGACUGUGGAAGGCAAACAGUCAAUCGUACGGCUCGCUAUUGGACAGAGAUUAUGUACCACGGAAGCAAUAUAGUCACUUUAACGCCGGUGUCACGACGGAGGUGCAUAAUGUAGCCGAGCGAAAAACAAUCACACAAUUUUUGCGCAAGUUUAGCCUUUAUAAUAGUAUUUUUAUAUGGUAGGUAGAGUGUAAGUAUAAGAUUUCACUUAUUAAAAUAGCAACUAUUUGACGUUCCAUUAUACUAACGCUUUUGUAUUCUGAUGUAUCUAUAACACUUUCAACGAGCAUUUGUACGUUAUGUCUUUAAGAAGUUCGGCCACGCACCCCCUGCGCGAUAAGUGGUGAAUUUUGUAAAAUGUAUUAUCCAUGUAACAGACGGCAAGCCAACGCAAAUUGGCUACCUUUACGCCGUCUUCGUAUAUUUCUCUCGAUGUCUGUUUUUUAAAGUUAUAUUGCUUAUCAACGUUUAGGUUAGUCUAAUUGUUCUAGCCGUUCGCAUAAUGCAAUCCAUUAUUAUGUAUCCAGUUGGGUAAAGUAUCCUGCUGAAUCUAUGGUGCAGGCGGCGAUGUUUCCAAAUGGCCUAUUUUCAACAAGAUGGUGUAAACUUGCUUGCAGAUGCGUAAUAACAGCUCGCUUGCUUUGUACAAAUCACGUCUUUGUUAAUAGUUAUCCAUUGGCGAGAUUAUUUUUGGUUUUGGAUAAUAUUAACUAUCGACGCCCUGGCCAAAAGUUGUCGACUGUUCCCUCUGCAAGUUAUGCUUUCAUUGUACGGAUUUAGAACAGUAUCUAACAAUUGUUUACCUACUAUUAUAAUAUUGUACGUAGGUUAUUUAUAAUGAAUUAUAUUGAAGUUGGAUGAUGUGUGUAGUACAUAUAUGAUAAUACUAAGGUUGUUAUGCUCACGACAGUCUAAUUUUGUACGUAGUUUAAUAGUUUUGUAUAAUAGUUUUAUAUUAUGAGUAUAUAUUGAAUUAUUAAAAAGGUGUUCACGUUGUGUAGUAGCUUCAAAUAAAUAUUUUCAAUAA